rnacentral:rRNA from 1 species
GAUGAACGCUGGCGGCGUGCCUAAUACAUGCAAGUCGAGCGAACGGACGAGAAGCUUGCUUCUCUGAUGUUAGCGGCGGACGGGUGAGUAACACGUGGAUAACCUACCUAUAAGACUGGGAUAACUUCGGGAAACCGUAGCUAAUACCGGAUAAUAUUUUGAACCGCAUGGUUCAAAAGUGAAAGACGGUCUUGCUGUCACUUAUAGAUGGAUCCGCGCUGCAUUAGCUAGUUGGUAAGGUAACGGCUUACCAAGGCAACGUUGCAUAGCCGACGUGAGAGGGGGAUAGGCCGCACUGGAACUGAGACGCGGUCCAGGCUCCUACGGGAGGCAGCAGUAGGGAAUCUUCCGCAAUGGGCGAAAGCCUGACGGAGCAACGCCGCGUGAGUGAUGAAGGUCUUCGGAUCGUAAAACUCUGUUAUGAGGGAAGAACAUAUGUGUAAGUAAAUGUACACAUCUUGACGGUACCUAAUCAGAAAGCCACGGCUAACUACGUG